AUCCUGGCUCAGAACGAACGCUGGCGGCGUGCCUAACACAUGCAAGUCGAACGGACGAGGGGAGCUUGCUCCCCAAGUUAGUGGCGGACGGGUGAGUAACACGUGAGCAACCUGCCCUUCGGAGGGGGACAACAGCGGGAAACUGCUGCUAAUACCGCAUAACGUAUCUGGAAGGCAUCUUCCGGAUACCAAAGAUUUUAUCGCCGAAGGAUGGGCUCGCGUCUGAUUAGAUAGUUGGCGGGUAACGGCCCACCAAGUCGACGAUCAGUAGCCGGACUGAGAGGUUGAACGGCCACAUUGGGACUGAGAUACGGCCCAGACUCCUACGGGAGGCAGCAGUGGGGAAUAUUGGGCAAAUGGGGGCAACCCUGACCCAGCAACGCCGCGUGGAGGAAGAAGGCUUUCGGGUUGUAAACUCCUUUGACGAGGGACGAUAGUGACGGUACCUCGAAAACAAGCCACGGCUAACUACGUGCCAGCCGCCGC
rnacentral:rRNA from 1 species